rnacentral:rRNA from 1 species
GAGGAAUAUUGGUCAAUGGGCGAGAGCCUGAACCAGCCAAGUAGCGUGCAGGACGACGGCCCUAUGGGUUGUAAACUGCUUUUAUGCGGGGAUAAAACGCGGGACGUGUCCCGCCUUGCAGGUACCGCAUGAAUAAGCACCGGCUAACUUCGUGCCAGCAGCCGCGGUAAUACGAAGGGUGCAAGCGUUAAUCGGAAUUACUGGGCGUAAAGCGCGCGUAGGUGGUUGGGUAAGUUGAAUGUGAAAGCCCCGGGCUCAACCUGGGAACUGCAUCCAAAACUGCCCGACUAGAGUACGGUAGAGGGUGGUGGAAUUUCCUGUGUAGCGGUGAAAUGCGUAGAUAUAGGAAGGAACACCAGUGGCGAAGGCGACCACCUGGACUGAUACUGACACUGAGGUGCGAAAGCGUGGGGAGCAAAC